UACGGAGGGUGCAAACGUUGCUCGGAAUUAUUGGGCGUAAAGCGCACGUAGGCGGGUCAUCAAGUCGGUUGUGAAAUCCCUCGGCUUAACCGGGGAACUGCGUCUGAUACUGGAUGGCUGGAGUGUGGGAGAGGGAUGCGGAAUUCCAGGUGUAGCGGUGAAAUGCGUAGAUAUCUGGAGGAACACCGGUGGCGAAGGCGGCAUCCUGGACCAUUACUGACACUGAAAAGCGAAAGCCAGGGGAGCAAACGGG
rnacentral:rRNA from 1 species